rnacentral:lncRNA from 12 species
UGACCCUGACACCCUCAGGUGAGGCACUGACACCCUCAGGUGUGACCCUGAACCCACCAGGUGUGGCACUGAACCCCCCCUGAACACCUGUGAGCCCCCAGGUGUGACCCUGACUCAUCCAGGUGUGGCCCUGACACCCACAGGUGAGGCACUGACACCCACAGGUGUGACCCUGAACCCCCCAGGUGUGGCACUGAACCCCCCCGAACACCUGAGAGCCUCCAGGUGAGGCACUGAACCCACCCAGGUGUGGAACUGACCCCCUCAUGUGUGUCCCUGACACAUCCAGGUGUCACACUGACACAUCCAGGUGAAGCACUGAUCCCCCCAGGUGUGGCAGGUGUGUGACAGGUGUGUGAUACAGGGACAGGUGUGUCCCAGGUGCAUGUUGUAGUCGAAGGUGAGCCCCUCCCCUGCCCGGAUGAGUUGAGUGGGCAGGGACAGGUGUGUGAUAUAGGGACAGGUGUGUGCCAGGUGUGUUACAGGUAAGGACAGGUGUGUGCCAGGUGUGUUACAGGUGUGCCAGGUGCGUUACCGUGCAUGUUGUAGUCGAAGGUGAGCUCCUCCCCGGCUGGGCGUGGCCCAGGUGUUUGGUAAGAUCACAGGUGUAACCCAGGUGAGCUGUGGGCGUGGCCCCGAUGUUUGACAAGAGCACAGAUGUGACCCAGGUGUGUCCCAGGUGUGCGAUAAGAGCACAGGUGUGUCCCAGGUGUGUCCCAGGUAUUUGAUAAGAGCACAGGUGUGACCCAGGUGAGCCGCGGGCGUGGCCCCGGUGUUUGAUAAGAGCACAGGUGUGUCCCAGGUGAGCCGCGGGCGUGGCCCAGGUGUCUCAGAAGAGGAACUUGCGGCAGGAGGCGGCGCCGCACUUGCACUCGAUGCGGCCGCGGGCGCGGGGGGAGCCGCCCAGGGCCCCGCCCAGGGCCCCGCCCAGGGCCCCGCCCACCAGCCCGAAGUUGGAGUCCAUGCGGGUGCUCUCGGCGUCCACGGGGUCCACUGCGGGGGAGGGCGGGGUCAGGGCGGGGCACGGACAGGUGAGGCUCUGAACCCCCCAGGUGUGACCUCCACCCGCCCAGGUGUGACCCUGACACCCUCAGGUGAGGCACUGACACCCUCAGGUGUGACCCUGAACCCACCAGGUGUGGCACUGAACCCCCCCUGAACACCUGUGAGCCCCCAGGUGUGACCCUGACUCAUCCAGGUGUGGCCCUGACACCCACAGGUGAGGCACUGACACCCACAGGUGUGACCCUGAACCCCCCAGGUGUGGCACUGAACCCCCCCGAACACCUGAGAGCCUCCAGGUGAGGCACUGAACCCACCCAGGUGUGGAACUGACCCCCUCAUGUGUGUCCCUGACACAUCCAGGUGUCACACUGACACAUCCAGGUGAAGCACUGAUCCCCCCAGGUGUGGCAGGUGUGUGACAGGUGUGUGAUACAGGGACAGGUGUGUCCCAGGUGCAUGUUGUAGUCGAAGGUGAGCCCCUCCCCUACCCGGAUGAGUUGAGUGGGCAGGGACAGGUGUGUGAUAUAGGGACAGGUGUGUGCCAGGUGUGUUACAGGUAAGGACAGGUGUGUGCCAGGUGUGCCCCAGGUGUGCCCCAGGUGCGUUACCGUGCAUGUUGUAGUCGAAGGUGAGCCCGUCCCCCGCCUGGAUGGGUUGGGUGGGCAGGGACAGGUGUGUGCCAGGUGUGUGAUAUAGGGACAGGUGUGUGCCAGGUGUGUUACAGGUAAGGACAGGUGUGUGCCAGGUGUGCCCCAGGUGUGCCCCAGGUGCGUUACCGUGCAUGUUGUAGUCGAAGGUGAGCUCCUCCCCGGCGCGGAUCGGCCUCGUUGCGAACAGCGCGAUGCGCAGAUCGGAA